CGCGCCCGCACACCGCUCGGCGCGGCUCGGCGGGGCACGGGCGGCGCGAGUGAAGCUCUUUUUGAUUCACAUCUGGUUGUAUCAUGACUACACUAAAGUCAAACCGUACUACUGCAUGAAUAACUUUGGAGUGGAUUAUCUCUUGCAGUUCAUGUAACGAAUGACUGCACAUGCCAUCCAAAUGGGCAAAUAGCUGGUGUAUCAGAGACUUUAAAAGAUUUUUAAAAGUCAAGAUUUGUUUUAGUGUAACUGAAAUACAUCUGGGGAUUAUAUUUCUCAUAUGUAUGUGUAAAUAUGAAGAGAGCAGUUCCUAGUGUUUGCCUUCCUACAGCUCUUCCACUUCAUGGCCUCAGGGGCAAAGAUUGCUUUCCCAGCCUGCCUGCUAUGUGGCAUUAGAUGCUACAGCCUUCUUGCAAACAUAUGCUGCUUCAAGCAAGAAAAAUCUUUUGUGUACACGGGGGUUGACUGGGGUCCUCAAGAAGGCGGCUUAGUGUAAGUAGUGUGUUGAAAAUAUAAUUCCCCUUGCAGAUGUACAGCACAACAUACUUCAGAGCCUUCAGAGCUCACUGCUGCAUGGUCUGCUGUGCUUUGAGCUGAACAGUAUUUUCAUAAAGGUCUUGUUGUCAUUACAGAAAUAUUUUAUAAGCCAUAUCCUGAUAUGCAAUGCACAAGAGGACUCUAGUCACAGAGAAAUGAAAAGCUGGACAUACCUUGGUGUAUCCUGGUAGCUGAUGGCCUUCCUUGUUUGUCUGUAGAAGAUACAGGUUUACAGGAGGGAGAAAAAUCAUCCAUUGUGCCCUGCAAUAACGCUGCUCCAUAAUCAUUUGCACCUGGCUUUGUGAUGGGGGUCCAACUUUCUGUCUGGGAUUUACCUCGCUCUCCGCACACCUCAGGGUUUGGACUCCAAACCAGAACUUGGUAUAAAGUAAUGUUUGUGAUUUCAGCUAUAUUAAAGUCCUUGAGUAAGUUAGUGUAUGAAUCUUACAAUCCACAGGUUUUGGUGGCAUCUCCAUAAAGAGUUUCCAGACAGAAAAGUUUUCUCCAUCCUUAACACCAUCCUUACAGGAACUCUAUUCAGGAAAGGGGCAGGAAUCAGGAUGCUAUGAGAUGGUCUGCAAGAUGGGUGCCAUCUGCACUGAGGUUUCAUGCUUUUGCAGCAGCUAUAUUCUUUCAAAAUCUUGCUUCAUGUGGGAAUGAAUGGUAUAUUGGGGAGUGUGUAUUGCAGUGUGUAUAAUGAAUACAGAGUCAUUUGUUCAUACAAGGAUACAAGCCAGAAUAUAUCUCUACAGGAGAAUAGAAUAAAAUUGUGGGUUUCUGUCUGUUAAAAAUACAUGGAAGAAUAUCAGUCCUACUGUGCUAGUGAUAAUGCAGGAGCAAAGCACCCAGGAUGGUCUAAGGUUUAGGAAGCGUGCUGAACUUUAUAAGGAAUGUGAGCUGGCUCUUGUAAUUGUAACUCCUUUAUUCAUUUUGUUGGGGAAAAUGCAUUUGUUUGUUUCCAUUAGUGACCUGCAGCCUUUGUUUUUUGCAAUACGUGUUUGAGUUGAACUUCUUCAGCUCUGAUGAAGUCAGGAAGCUGCAGACAGCACGUGGAUAAGAAAGUGCACAACCUCAGUACAGAGAGGGAGUGUGUAGAGAAGCCUGGCAUUGCCACCUCAGUUAAGCAAGUUCCCAUAGUCAAGUGGUAUAUGGUAUUGAAUAUUAUGCAUAAUUGUUUUAUUACUGCUAAUUGUUUUUAGCAAAGUCUCCAAGUCUCCACCCUCUUUUCUGGCUGUAACUGGUGAAUAUUCUUGAGUAUGAGAUGUUCCCUUGAAAAAGCUGUAAAGCACUGCCAAGAAGCCAAGCAAACCACUUAGGGAUUUCCUUCACCUUAAAAUGUGACGCAACAAGAAAAGGCAUCAUAUUACCUGUCCUUUUGGGAAUUGUGGCAGAUAUGGGCUUCCUGAGACUUUACAACAUCAAUUCAGUGGUUAACGCAUUUGGACUUACAAAAAAAUGGAUAAGUGGUCCCAUCCUUUGGUUUGGAUCCUUUGGAAUAAAAUUAAUUUACUCGGUUAUAGAGUGUAAAGUCAGCUUACAAGAAAAAACAAAGAACAAAAAGGACCUUCUGGAGUACACGUAACAUAAACUCAGUGUGUUUUGCUCCUUUCUCUUAUUGCCUUAAACACCAUAUAGCCUCCAUUUCUAAAUGAAUUCCUGAAGCACUGGGAUUAUUAAUUCAGCCUCAGGUCUUAAAUCAGUGGGACUUUUGCCUUCAGCUCCUUUGGUGAAAGACAUGAAGUGAGGAUGUGUCUACAAUAUUCAGCCUAAUCUAAGAAAGAAAAGGAAAGCCUUAUGGGUAGAAAAAGCAGCAGCUAUGUAUGAUGGGAUAACACCCUGCCUUAGGAUCAGUUGCAGAAAUAUUUUCAUCUUUGUGUGCUGGCUUUAAAGACAUUAACUGCUUUUGAGAUUGCAUGCCUGAACUUACAGUAAAUGAAGGAGGUGUGUUCAUGGCUGUGUUUUGGACAUGCAGAGCCAGGAUCUGUAUUACUGACUUCAGAGGAGCUGUACAGAGGAUGAGAGAGAGAGAAUGCAUCCUUUGGGAAUAAUUUAAAAUAGGUAUGUGCAUGAAUCCUGGUUCAUGUGAUCGCGUGUCUGUAUCUGAGGGAUAAAUUGGCCUAUUUCUUCUUUUUUAAAGGCUUCUCUACAAACUGUGUGAAGAUUUAUACCCUGGUUAAAAAGUCCUGCUCAUGUCCAUGUUCUGUGUUCUGUCUGCAGCUUUACACAAAAAGAAGGGGAAUAAAGAAACACAUAGACAACUUUGCAGUGAAAAUGCACCAUUCCUGUGUUCUUCAAGAUAUCUAGGAGUGAAUCAGGACUCACAGAAAAGUCCUGUUUACCCACCAUUAUUAUCUGAGCUGUAAAGAGAAAGCAGAACUUAAGUUUCACUGGUGAUUUUAAUCCACUUUUUUCAUUAUUUUUUUCCGAUCAUUUGUGGUACAAGAAAUGUAUCGUUCAUCUCUGAAGGAGUCUAGAAAAUGGUUACUUCCUUUGGUUGUAUUCUUCACAAUGGCAAAAAAAAAAAACCAAACCAAACCAAUUCCCAAUAUCAACAAUUGGAAUUUGCUUCUGAUUUCUGUGAGGACAGGAUUUCCUUCUCUGUGCUACAAACUGGUCAGUUUUCUUUGUAUAGUCACUUUUUAAUGGGGCUCCCCUAUUUGUGAGCAUGUCUUAUGAACACAAAUGCAUUUUUCUUAGUGCUACAGUACUAGAAGACUUCAUAAUAGCUAUGUCAUGUUAGGAAUGGAACCUUGGAAGCAUUUCUUUUAUUUUCAAAACACAAGUUUGCAUUUCAUUGGUGGUAAUGUGCAGUGUGUAAGCCUGAAAAUGAGAGAAUUGUAAGUGAUGCUUUGGAACCAAAAAUUCCAUUAUAAUUUUUGUUUGUUUGCUUGUUUGUUUGUUUCAGUAAUAUGUGAUAAAACUUUAGUUGUGAAAAAAGAGCUUCACUUUCUGUCAGAUGUGGCAUAGGAUGUGGCUUCAGAAUAUACCCUUACCAAUUUCGCAGCUGUGUAUUUCUUAUCUUUAGAAAUGAGAAACUCUAUAGAAUAUCAUGCCCUGAUGUGACACCAAUUCUGUAUGCUUAGUAAUAAACCAAAUAAAACUUGA